ACAUGCAAGUCGAGCGGAAACGAGUUAUCUGAACCUUCGGGGAACGAUACGGCGUCGAGCGGCGGACGGGUGAGUAAUGCCUAGGAAAUUGCCCUGAUGUGGGGGAUAACCAUUGGAAACGAUGGCUAAUACCGCAUGAUGCCUACGGGCCAAAGAGGGGGACCUUCGGGCCUCUCGCGUCAGGAUAUGCCUAGGUGGGAUUAGCUAGUUGGUGAGGUAAGGGCUCACCAAGGCGACGAUCCCUAGCUGGUCUGAGAGGAUGAUCAGCCACACUGGAACUGAGACACGGUCCAGACUCCUACGGGAGGCAGCAGUGGGGAAUAUUGCACAAUGGGCGCAAGCCUGAUGCAGCCAUGCCGCGUGUGUGAAGAAGGCCUUCGGGUUGUAAAGCACUUUCAGUCGUGAGGAAGGUGGUGUAGUUAAUAGCUGCAUUAUUUGACGUUAGCGACAGAAGAAGCACCGGCUAACUCCGUGCCAGCAGCCGCGGUAAUACGGAGGGUGCGAGCGUUAAUCGGAAUUACUGGGCGUAAAGCGCAUGCAGGUGGUUUGUUAAGUCAGAUGUGAAAGCCCGGGGCUCAACCUCGGAAUAGCAUUUGAAACUGGCAGACUAGAGUACUGUAGAGGGGGGUAGAAUUUCAGGUGUAGCGGUGAAAUGCGUAGAGAUCUGAAGGAAUACCGGUGGCGAAGGCGGCCCCCUGGACAGAUACUGACACUCAGAUGCGAAAGCGUGGGGAGCAAACAGGAUUAGAUACCCUGGUAGUCCACGCCGUAAACGAUGUCUACUUGGAGGUUGUGGCCUUGAGCCGUGGCUUUCGGAGCUAACGCGUUAAGUAGACCGCCUGGGGAGUACGGUCGCAAGAUUAAAACUCAAAUGAAUUGACGGGGGCCCGCACAAGCGGUGGAGCAUGUGGUUUAAUUCGAUGCAACGCGAAGAACCUUACCUACUCUUGACAUCCAGAGAACUUUCCAGAGAUGGAUUGGUGCCUUCGGGAACUCUGAGACAGGUGCUGCAUGGCUGUCGUCAGCUCGUGUUGUGAAAUGUUGGGUUAAGUCCCGCAACGAGCGCAACCCUUAUCCUUGUUUGCCAGCGAGUAAUGUCGGGAACUCCAGGGAGACUGCCGGUGAUAAACCGGAGGAAGGUGGGGACGACGUCAAGUCAUCAUGGCCCUUACGAGUAGGGCUACACACGUGCUACAAUGGCGCAUACAGAGGGCGGCCAACUUGCGAAAGUGAGCGAAUCCCAAAAAGUGCGUCGUAGUCCGGAUUGGAGUCUGCAACUCGACUCCAUGAAGUCGGAAUCGCUAGUAAUCGUGGAUCAGAAUGCCACGGUGAAUACGUUCCCGGGCCUUGUACACACCGCCCGUCACACCAUGGGAGUGGGCUGCAAAAGAAGUAGUGUAGUUUAACCUUCGGGGGGACGCU
rnacentral:rRNA from 1 species